rnacentral:rRNA from 1 species
AUUGAACGCUGGCGGCAUGCCUUACACAUGCAAGUCGAACGGCAGCACGGGAGCAAUCCUGGUGGCGAGUGGCGAACGGGUGAGUAAAGUAUCGGAACGUGCCCAGUCGUGGGGGAUAACGUAGCGAAAGUUACGCUAAUACCGCAUACGAUCUACGGAUGAACGCGGGGGAUCGCAAGACCUCGCGCGAUUGGAGCGGCUGAUAUCAGAUUAGGUAGUUGGUGGGGUAAAGGCUCACCAAGCCGACGAUCUGUAGCUGGUCUGAGAGGACGACCAGCCACACUGGGACUGAGACACGGCCCAGACUCCUACGGGAGGCAGCAGUGGGGAAUUUUGGACAAUGGGCGCAAGCCUGAUCCAGCCAUGCCGCGUGCAGGAUGAAGGCCUUCGGGUUGUAAACUGCUUCUGUACGGAACGAAAAGGUUUGGCCUAAUAAGCUGGACCCAUGACGGUACCGUAAGAAUAAGCACCGGCUAACUACGUGCCAGCAGCCGCAGUAA